GCCUGGCUGGCUCAGUCGGUAGAGCACGCGACUCUUAGUCUCGCUGUUGUGUGUUUGAGCCUCACGUUGGGUG
rnacentral:tRNA from 1 species